GAGAUGCGAUAAGUAAUGUGAAUUGCAGAAUUCAGUGAAUCAUCGAAUCUUUGAACGCACAUUGCGCCCACCAGCACUCUGGCGGGCCUGCCUGUUCGAUCGACAUUUCAACCAUCAAACCCCCCGGGUUUGUGCUGGGGCUCUGCAGCUAACCGCAGGCCCUGAAAACCAGUGGCGGGCCCGCCGCCGUGCCCGAGCGUAGUAGAUCUAUCCUCUAGCUCCGGGUGCGUAGCGGGCUUCCCCGCCGUUAAACCUACCAUCAAGCAAGGUUGACCUCGGAUAAGGUAGGAAUACCCGCUGACCUUAA
rnacentral:misc_RNA from 1 species